rnacentral:lncRNA from 1 species
GCCCGCCGACCCUGGAGCUCCUCUCUCCGCGCGCGCUCCCGCAGCUCCCUGGCGCGCUGCUCCUGCAGUUGCUCAUAGUUCUCUUGCGCGCGGCCCAAGCUGGCCUCCAGGGAGCUCCGCAGGCCCUCCCGUUCCUCCUGCUGCUGCCGGACUCGGCCUCGAAGCAGCGCCUCGUGGCGCGCCCGCUCGGCCCGGCUCAGCUCCCGCUUCUCGCGCUGCAGCUGGCCCUCUUGCUUCUGUCUGGCGCGCGCCGCUCGCUGGGCGCGCUCCCUGCGGACCAGCUCGGCGCGCUCCCGCCCCUCUUGCAGGCCCUCCUCCCUCUGCUUUAGGUUCUGCUCCUGCUGCAGCUUACGCAGCCGGUCGUCACGCGCGGCGCGUUCAACCCGCUCCCGCCGCAGCAGACCCUGGCGCUCCGCCAGCUCCCGCCGCCGUUCCUCGCUGCGCUCGCACUGCUGCUGCCGCCUCCGCGCGGCCUCGCGCUCCUCCCGACCCCGGCGGCCGC